AGCUGCGUGGCGCAGUGGAAGCGCGGUAAGUCUCGAAAACUCACUUAGGAUAACAUGUGCAUCAUAACUAACUCUCCCCAGCCGGGCUCAUAACCCGGAGGUCCUCCGAUCGAAACGGAGCGCAGCUA